rnacentral:lncRNA from 1 species
CAUACACUCUCAUCCCAACAAAACAGUAAAAUUCGACAUUAAUCAACAGUAAUCGGCUUGAGAUAACAGUAAAAUUUGCGACAUAAACGCCCUAUACCAUACUUACGCUAUUGUUUUUCUAUGGUAUUAUGAAGUCACAAAUUCCAGAUUUAUAUGACGUCACUAAUGUUUUAUUAUAAGGUCAUUGUGUAUUAUGAAGUCACAAACUCCAGAUUUAUAUGACGUCACUAAUGUAUCAUUAUAAGAUCAUUGUGUUUAUGAAGUCACAAAUUCCAGAUUUAUAUGAUGUCGAAUGUCUUAUCAUAAGGUCAUUGAGUAUGACGUCACAAAUUCCAGAUUUCAGAUUUAUAUGACGUCACUAAUGUCUUAUUAUAAGGUCUGUUGCUCAAGAUAUCAUAUAACUUGUCACAAAUAAUAUAAUUGGUCGAUUGAAUGAAACCUAGAAUCUAGUGUCUAGCAGCUAGUCAUUGGCUCUAUAGUGAAGUCCACGUUAUAAUGGCAGUGUUUGAUUGGCAAUGGUAUUGCUAUCCUUGUCUAUCAUUCAACAAAGCGGUUAGCGCUAUCUCUUUCUCGCUUUUAACGUGGACCUCACUAUAGCUUUACAAAUAAGAUGAUACAGCUGUCUCAAAUAGCCUACUAGUAUUUGCUUGAAAAUUACUUAUGCCCGAUUGAACAAAAAACGGUUAAAUUUUAACCGAGAUUAAUUUCACGAGUACCAAUCAGAUAAGCCGUCUUUACUAAAAAGCUUUCUUUGAUUGGUUGUCGUGAAAUUAAUUAUUCACGAUAAAAAUUUAACCGGCUUUUCUGCAACCGGCACUUAGAAUUGCAAUUGCUAGCUUUUAUUGAAUCGACCUAUUAUUGGUUUCAUUGAGUUUCUAUUGAUGACGUCUUCGAAUUGUUAUUGAUAAUUCCAUCAAUCACCUCAUAAAAAAAUCAUUUUUCAUCUCACCAAUGAGGUGAUAUAGAUUGAGCUCUAUCAUUUUGUAUACGUAUAUUGUCAGGUAAUUGAUCUGAAUUUGCUAUUAAUACAUCAUAUAUUAUAUUAUUUAAAGUUUCACUUUAAACUCUUGGAGGCCCUGUUGCACAAAAGACCGUUAAAUUUUAAUCAUGCUGAUUAAAUUCCAAGAGAACGAGUCAUAGAAGGUUUUUGUGAGAAGAAGGCUUCUCUGAUUGGUUAUCGUGGCAUUUAAUCGGGAUUAGAACUUAACAGUGUUUUGUGCAACCGGCAAGUGACUGCAUUUUUUAAAAAUAUAUCAUCAAGAAUCCCCAUGCUGGAAGCUUGGAGUGAAUAUCACUUAAUGGUAUUCAUUACAACUAUUUAUCAUGAAUAUAAAUGAUGUAUAAAAGGAGUUCCAAACAACGAAUUAGAAUAAAUAAAAAUACGAACAUAUUCUCCUAUCUAUUGGUUUCAAUAUAAUUCCAAUAUUUGAUGUUCAAUAUUGUAUUAUAUUCAUUAACCUUCCGGUAGUCGCGCCCUAAUCAAUAUCACGAGCAGUCGCGUGUUGUAUUUUGUACAACAUCCAAUUUCCCAAGUGUUAUGUACUCUGUUUACUGUCAAAACUUACUGUAUUAAUUAAUUGUAUAAUUACUUUUUCCAUCUUCUUAGAUUAUUUUACGCCUAUGAACAUUUGAAUGAUUACCAUUUCAUAGCCCAAUAAUGUACACCAAGCAAAGCCAUCAAUUCUGUGUUGUUGGUUCGUUUACAGUCCCCGUAUACAGUCUUUCCCUAUCUUAUGCAAUGCACUGUGGCGACUAAAUGGCACCUAAAGACUGAACCAUUGCUCGGUUGAUACUGCAACUCAGUGGAGUGAUAGGGGAAAGUUUUGGAAUGCAUAGGUGACUCAUUCACUGACACCACCCCAUUCAAUAGGUUUGUGCAGCAAAAACUGACACUGUUGUACUUUUUACAACAGGGCGACUGCCGGAAGGUUAAUUUAAAACAUUCCAUGUGUCAUUCCUUGAAAGAUCUUUUCGAUAUUUCAUUCUCUUUCAUUUUUACAUUCCAAUUGCAUAAUUCCAUCCAUUUUUGUUGGCUAAUACCAUAGCCACCUCUAAGGCCAGCCGCAAAGUAGACCCACGCUAAUCCACGAAAAGCAACCCACGCCGUGGGAUGUUUUGUAAACCCUUGCUAUAGAAUUAUUCAUAAUCAAUCAGCUGACAAGUGGAUUAUUCAUUACAUGUGUUACACAGAUGUGUGGAGAAGCUUAGCACGGUAUAUUAUGACCCACGGUAUAUAGAAGAAUAAUAUAAAUACGGUGGGUAUCACCUACAUAUUAUAGGUAUCCUAUCACUUACUUCAUUCCUUGUUCUAUUUUAUACAUUCCAAAUGUGUACUUUUCAAACAUUCCAUUUUUCAUUUCAGCCUAUACAUCAUGACAUGCAUUAUAUUUCAUUUGACACAUGAAGGAUUUAAUGUGUUAUUUUAAACAUUCCAUGUUCUAUUGUAUACAUGACUUGCAUCAUCCAAUUAUUGAUGUGCAAAUUUACACAAGAACAAACGUCCAUGGAAAUUAUCAUGUGGGCUAAAAUAUAAAUGAAUUUUAGAGUAUCUAUAGGUGCGUACAGAUUUACGCGCCGCGAACAUGAGCAAUUCACCUUUAAUCAGCUGAUGCCAAGCUUUUUAUAUCUGUAUCUUACCGUUUCUGUAGAAAUACAGAUAUAGUCAGCUGAUUAAAAGUGAAUUGCUCAUGUUCGCGGCACCUUAAGACUUGCAUCAUCCCAAUAUUAAUGUGAAAAUUGUCACAAGAACAAACGUCCAAGAAAAUUAUCAUAUAGGCCUAGCUCAAAUAUGAAUGAAUUUUAGAGUAUUUGGUAAGGUGAAAAACAUAUAUGAACAUUUUGAUGGUAUGAAUAUUUUUGUUAUAUCAAUGAACAAAGGUUUUCAUUCUGUUUUUAUCUAGGGACGAACAAAUUUCAUACUUUUGUACAGCAUUUUCUAUUGAAUAAUCUAUUUCUUAGAAUUUUUUACAAGUUUUGGACUUUUUAGAGGGUGUAUUAAGCUCUUAUUUUUGUGCCAAAUAACUUAGUAGGUAUUGUAUAAUGAUUAAUUAUUUAUAUUAUAAAAUAUCAUGGAUGCAACGUUGAAGUAUAUAAAGAAAUUUGAUCAAAGUUGAAAGAACGUAGAUAAUAUGAAUUUAUUUAUUUAAAGAUAAAUUUAUGAUGUGCUAAAAGUAAAUAUUGUGAAAAUUGUUAAUAAUAAAAUCUUGGAGAUCAUGUCAUAUCUUUUAAAAAUACAUUUACAAUAUAAACAUCUAUUCCAACUAUCUAUUCAUCUAUUAUUAAAUUUUUGUAAAAAUUAUUAGUAAUAGAAUCUUGUAGAUCAUGUCCCAUCUUUCAAAACAUAUUUGCAAUAAAAUAGUCUAUUUCAACACCUAUUAAUGAUAUCAAUUUUUAUUCAAAUUUAGUAAAUUAACACCAAUAAUAAUUUGUUGAAAAUGUUUUGGAAUUGGAUUUUAUCUGAAUUAUAUUUUAAUAAAAUUACAGCCUAAACAUGAUCUCCAAGAUUUGAUCACUUAUUAAUGAAUCUCAAAGGUUUAUACUUUCUAAGGAAAGUUAACUUAAAUGAUCGAUCUGUAUUAUCAUCUCUGUUAUUCCACUUAAUAAUAUUUAUAUUGAAUUUUAUAUCAAGGAAAGUUAACUUGAAUGACCGUUCUGUAUUAUAAUCUCUGUUAUUCCACUAAAUAUUUAUAUUGAAUUUGAUAAAAAAAUUUUGUCAAAUGAAAGAAAAAUUGAAUCAAGAUUUAUCAAUUCAUACGUACAAAUUUUAAUGGUAUCCAGUAUUGCUAAUUAAUUAGGAUUAACAAUGUUGUAGUUAAAUGAAAAAUAUGUAUAUUUAUUUUAUAUUAUGAAUAUAUUAUUAAACACUGUUUACAAAAUAAAUUAAUUUUACUCA